AAAGGGUUUCAUAUCUAAGGGUUGUGAUCGGCUNGGGUAUGAAACCCAUUUGGGUGAGAGUAGUACUAGGAUGGGUGACCUCCUGGGAAGUCCUCAUGAAAGGGUUUC
rnacentral:rRNA from 1 species